UUGAGGAGGUCUCUUACCGUAACUUCUAAACAGAAUUCGAAUAUGGUGUCCAGUGUCUGAGUCCUAAAACUUUGUGAUGUAAAUAAAUGUUCUCUACCGGUACAAUGGUUUCGUGUGGAAUAACGGUGUCUUCGACCUUGUCCGAUGACUAUGACUACGACUAUGAAGUUUGUGUUCUUGAAUGUUACAAGGAAUUCUCUUGAAUGUU